GAGGGUACAGCUCAGUGGUAGAGCACGUGCUUAGCAUGCACGAGGUCCUGGAUUUAAUCCCUAGGACCUCCG
rnacentral:tRNA from 1 species